AAAAUUAGGGGAGAUUCCAUAAUCAAUAAGGUGGUUCUCCCAGGACGAGACUAUCCCAUUGCACUUCGGGUGUGCUGACGCCUGCAAUGUCCCCAAAUGUGGGGUACUCGACUGCAACAUUUGUAGUAGUAGGGGCCUGCGUUCACGCUUAUUUAAG